rnacentral:rRNA from 1 species
GUGAGUGGCGGACGGGUGAGUAACACGUAGGUAACCUGCCCCGGAGCGGGGGAUAACAUUUGGAAACAGAUGCUAAUACCGCAUAACAACAAAAACCACAUGGCUUUUGUUUGAAAGAUGGCUUUGGCUAUCACUCUGGGAUGGACCCGCGGUGCAUUAGCUAGUUGGUAAGGUAACGGCUUACCAAGGCGAUGAUGCAUAGCCGAGUUGAGAGACUGAUCGGCCACAAUGGAACUGAGACACGGUCCAUACUCCUACGGGAGGCAGCAGUAGGGAAUCUUCCACAAUGGGCGCAAGCCUGAUGGAGCAACACCGCGUGAGUGAAGAAGGGUUUCGGCUCGUAAAACUCUGUUGUUGGAGAAGAACGUGCGUGAGAGUAACUGUUCACGCAGUGACGGUAUCCAACCAGAAAGUCACGGCUAACUACGUGCCAGCAGCCGCGGUAAUACGUUGGUGGCAAGCGUUAUCCGGAUUUAUUGGGCGUAAAGCGAGCGCAGGCGGUUGCUUAGGUCUGAUGUGAAAGCCUUCGGCUUAACCGAAGAAGUGCAUCGGAAACCGGGCGACUUGAGUGCAGAAGAGGACAGUGGAACUCCAUGUGUAGCGGUGGAAUGCGUAGAUAUAUGGAAGAACACCAGUGGCGAAAGCGGCUGUCUGGUCUGCAGCUGACGCUGAGGCUCGAAAGCAUGGGUAGCGAACAGGAUUAGAUACCCUGGUAGUCCAUGCC